CAGCUCAAAUUUGAAAUCUGGCCCUCGGGUCCGAGUUGUAAUUUGUAGAGGAUGCUUUUGGUUAGGUACCUUCCGAGUUCCCUGGAACGGGACGCCUUAGAGGGUGAGAGCCCCGUACGGUUGGAUACCGAGCCUCUGUAAAGCUCCUUCGACGAGUCGAGUAGUUUGGGAAUGCUGCUCUAAAUGGGAGGUAAAUUUCUUCUAAAGCUAAAUAUUGGCCAGAGACCGAUAGCGCACAAGUAGAGUGAUCGAAAGAUGAAAAGUACUUUGAAAAGAGGGUUAAACAGCACGUGAAAUUGUUGAAAGGGAAGCGUUUAUGACCAGACUUUUUCUAGGCGGAUCAUCCGGUGUUCUCACCGGUGCACUUUGUCUAGUUUAGGCCAGCAUCGGUUUUCGUAGGGGGAUAAAAUCAGCAGGAAUGUGGCUCUUUUGGGAGUGUUAUAGCCUGUUGAAUAAUACCCUUAUGGGGACCGAGGUUCGCGCUCUGCAAGGAUGCUGGCGUAAUGGUCAUCAACGACCCGUCUUGAAACACGGACCAAGGAGUCGAACAUUUGUGCGAGUGUUUGGGUGUUAAACCCUCACGCGUAAUGAAAGUGAACGGAGGUGAGAGCCCUUACGGGUGCAUCAUCGACCGAUCCUGAAGUUUACGGAUGGAUUUGAGU
rnacentral:rRNA from 1 species